rnacentral:rRNA from 1 species
GAUGAACGCUAGCGGCAGGCCUAACACAUGCAAGUCGAGGGGCAGCACGGAAUGUAGCUUGCUACAUCUGGUGGCAGACGGGUGAGUAAUGUAUAGGAAUCUACCUAGUAGUAUGGAAUAAUUGUUGGAAACGGCAACUAAUACCGUAUACGCCCUACGGGGGAAAAAUUUAUUGCUAUUAGAUGAGCCUAUAUUAGAUUAGCUAGUUGGUGGAGUAACAGCCUACCAAGGCAAUGAUCUAUAGCUGAUCUGAGAGGAUGAUCAGCCACACUGGAACUGAGAUACGGUCCAGACUCCUACGGGAGGCAGCAGUGGGGAAUAUUGGACGAUGGGCGAAAGCCUGAUCCAGCCAUGCCGCAUGAGUGAAGAAGGCCUUUGGGUUGUAAAGCUCUUUUAGUGAGGAAGAUAAUGACGGUACUCACAGAAGAAGUCCUGGCUAACUCCGUGCCAGCCGCCGCAGUAAAAC